rnacentral:rRNA from 1 species
AUUGAACGCUGGCGGCAGGCCUAACACAUGCAAGUCGAGCGAGCGGCGGACGGGUGAGUAAUGUCUGGGAAACUGCCUGAUGGUGGGGGAUAACUACUGGAAACGGUAGCUAAUACCGCAUACUAUCAGAUGUGCGCAGAUGGGAUUAGCUAGUGGGUGGGGUAACGGCUUACCUAGGCGACGAUCCCUAGCUGGGCUGAGAGGAUGACCAGCCACAUGGGAACGGAGACACGGUCCAAACUCCUACGGGAGGCAGCAGUGGGGAAUAUUGCACAAUGGGCGCAAGCCUGAUGUAGCCAUGCCGCGUGUGUGAAGAAGGCCUUCGGGUUGUAAAGCACUGUCAUCGGGGAGGCGUUACCCGCAGAAAAAGCACCGGCUAACUCCGUGCCAGCAGCCGCGGUAAUAC